CAAGUCGAGCGGGCGUAGCAAUACGUCAGCGGCGUAAGGGACAGGAACACGUAGAUUACCUGCCCUCGGGUCUGGGAUAGCCACGGGAAACUGUGGGUAAUACCAGAUGAUAUCUCCGGAUCAAAGGUGUGAUUCCGCCCGAGGAUGGGUCUGCGUCCUAUUAGCUAGUUGGUGAGGUAAUGGCUCACCAAGGCGAUGAUGGGUAGCAGGUGUGAGAGCACGACCUGCGUCAUUGGGACUGAGACACUGCCCAGACACCUACGGGUGGCUGCAGUCGAGAAUUUUUGGCAAUGGGCGAAAGCCUGACCAAGCGAUGCCGCGUGCGGGAUGAAGGCCUUCGGGUUGUAAACCGCUGUCAGUGGGGAGGAAAGCUUUGUGAAGAGCAAGGCUUGACCUAUCCGCAGAGGAAGUGUGGGCUAAGUUCGUGCCAGCAGCCGCGGUAAGACGAACCACACAAACGUUAUUCGGAAUUACUGGGCUUAAAGGGUGCGUAGGCUGCGCAGUAAGUUGGGUGUGAAAUACCUCGGCUCAACCGAGGAACUGCGCCCAAAACUACUGUGCUUGAGGAAGAUAGAGGUAAGCGGAACCUACGGUGGAGCGGUGAAAUGCGUUGAUAUCGUAAGGAACACCUGUGGCGAAAGCGGCUUACUGGGUCUUUUCUGACGCUGAUGCACGAAAGCUAGGGGAGCAGACGGGAUUAGAUACCCCGGUAGUCCUAGCCGUAAACUAUGAGUACUGAAUUGAAGGGUCCUUCAUAGCCCUUCAGUUGUAGCGAAAGUGUUAAGUACUCCGCCUGGGGGAGUAUGGUCGCAAGGCUGAAACUCAAAGAAAUUGACGG
rnacentral:rRNA from 1 species